rnacentral:rRNA from 1 species
AACGAACGCUGGCGGCAUGCCUAACACAUGCAAGUCGAACGAGACCUUCGGGUCUAGUGGCGCACGGGUGCGUAACGCGUGGGAACCUGCCCUUAGGUUCGGAAUAACUCCCCGAAAGGGGUGCUAAUACCGGAUAAUGUCUUCGGACCAAAGAUUUAUCGACUUUGGAUGGGCCCGCGUUGGAUUAGCUAGUUGGUAGGGUAAAAGCCUACCAAGGCGACGAUCCAUAGCUGGUCUGAGAGGAUGAUCAGCCACACUGGGACUGAGACACGGCCCAGACUCCUACGGGAGGCAGCAGUGGGGAAUAUUGGACAAUGGGCGAAAGCCUGAUGCAGCAAUGCCGCGUGAGUGAUGAAGGCCUUAGGGUUGUAAAGCUCUUUUACCCGGGAUGAUAAUGACAGUACCGGGAGAAUAAGCGCCGGCUAACUCCGUG